CCGAGAAUAUUCGACAAUGGACGAAAGUCUGAUCGAGCGACACCGCGUGCUGGAUGAAGUGCUUCGGCACGUAAACAGCUUUUAUCGGGGACGAAGUUUAUUGACGGUACCCGAUGAAUAAGGGGCUACUAACUCUGUGCCAGCAGUAGCGGUAAUACAGAGGCCCCAAGCGUUAUCCGGAAUCACUGGGCGUAAAGGGUGUCCAGGCGGUCGUAUUAGUCGUUUGUAAAAUCCGCGCGCUUAACGUGCGGUCCGCAGACGAAACGGUACGACUCGAGGGCGCGAGAGGUGCAUGGAACUCAUGGUGGAGGGGUGAAAUCCGUUGAUAUCAUGGGGAACACCAAAGGCGAAGGCAGUGCACUAGCGCGUUCCUGACGCUCACACACGAAAGCCAGGGGAUCGAACGGGAUUAGAUACCCCCGUAGUCC
rnacentral:rRNA from 1 species